rnacentral:rRNA from 1 species
AGUGAACGCUGGCGGUAGGCCUAACACAUGCAAGUCGAACGGCAGUACAGGAGAGCUUGCUCUCUAGGUGGCGAGUGGCGGACGGGUGAGGAAUACAUCGGAAUCUGCCCAGUCGUGGGGGAUAACGUAGGGAAACUUACGCUAAUACCGCAUACGACCUUCGGGUGAAAGAGGGGGAUCGCAAGACCUCUCGCGAUUGGAUGAGCCGAUGUCGGAUUGGCUAGUUAGCGGGGUAAUGGCCCACCAAGGCGACGAUCCGUAGCUGGUCUGAGAGGAUGAUCAGCCACACUGGAACUGAGACACGGUCCAGACUCCUACGGGAGGCAGCAGUGGGGAAUAUUGGACAAUGGGCGCAAGCCUGAUCCAGCCAUACCGCGUGGGUGAAGAAGGCCUUCGGGUUGUAAAGCCCUUUUGUUGGGAAAGAAAUCUUUCAGGCUAAUACCCUGGGAGGAUGACGGUACCCAAAGAAUAAGCACCGGCUAACUUCGUG